CUGCAAACAAAGUGUACAAUGCCUUAAAGUACUUGAACAGAGAAAGUAACCAAGAUGUCAACUUGCCAGCUUUGACAUGGUGACCUGUAACAUGAUGUGCACUAUAGCCUCAUCAUAUUUGUUGGGCCAGGCAAUGCCCAAACAUGUGGAAACUCAGGGUAUUUGAGCUUCGAAAGCCUUUUCCUGCCCUAAAAGGGAAUUCAAAAGGUCUUUUGGAGGGGGAGGAAAUCACACGGCGUUUAUUCUGCAGGGUAACCCGGCAUUCCCAAGACCCAAGCGCCAUGAUGCUCCAGGCCUGCCUCUCCAUUCACCAAGAUGUCUCACUGCCUCUGGCUUUAUGGUUGGCGGCCACGCCACGAGCUCAUUUCGAAUCCUUCUCAAAAGCCAUCAAGUGCUAAAAUUGCAGCAUCUCUUUCAUGAACUGUCUGUGUCCCAGCUUAUCCAAUGGCACGAGCCACUGAACCCACUAAAGGAAUAAGAGUUUGCUCAUCUCAUCAUAGCCGGCAUCCCCAACCUCAAAGGCUUGAACAAAUAUAAAUGUCCCAGGCUGCAGUUUAUUACCGACGGUGCACAUAAUUCAAUAGGCAGUGUGUCAGUUGUGGAAAAGAUCACCUCAAGUCUCAGCAAAGCAGCUAAGUCUGUUUUAUUUACUCUUUCAUUUUAAAACAUUCUUCCGUGGUUACCUGAUUCAUGUUAGCCCCCUUCUCUCUUCCCUCCCCACUCCUGGAGCUGACAAGCCAUUGCACUGGGUUAGACAUCGGUUAUGGCCUGAUACCUAUUUCCAUAUUAUUCAUUUUUGUAAUAAUCUGUUGAAACCCAAAUCAUAUUCCCAUAGAAACAAGUGAUGAAUCAUAUGCUUUUGUUCUGCUUUUCUACUCCCACAGUUCUUCCCCUCUUUCUCAUACAACCCUCAGGAUUGUCAUCAGUUACAUUUGAUUGUUCCACAGUGUUUUACUUUCUGUGUACAAUGUUCUCUUGGUUCCGUUCAUUUCUGCUCAUUCCACAUCAAUUCAUGAAGGGAGGUUUUUCCGGAUCAUAUAGAAAUCCUCCAUUUCACCAUUCCUUAUAGCACAAUAGUAUUCUAUCAUCAUCAUAUACUACAAUGUGUUCAGCCAUGCCCCAAUCAAGGGGCCCCCCUCAUUUUCCAAUUUUUUUCCAUCACAAAGAACGCAGCUACGAAUAUUUUUACACAAC
rnacentral:lncRNA from 1 species